rfam:Lentinula edodes NBRC 111202 DNA, contig: scaffold123.
ACACCGUUGGUGAAGUGGUUAUCAUGCUUGCCUUCCACUCGGAUCAGCAAGCGGCUCGGGUUCGAUUCCCGAACGGUGUA